UACGGAGGGUGCGAGCGUUGUCCGGAAUCAUUGGGCGUAAAGGGCGCGUAGGUGGCCCGGUCAGUUCGUGGUGAAAGCGCGGGGCUCAACUCCGCGUCGGCCAUGAAUACUGCUGGGCUCGAGCACUGUAGAGGCAGGCGGAAUUCCGGGUGUAGCGGUGGAAUGCGCAGAUAUCAGGAGGAACACCUAUUGCGAAGGCAGCUCGCUGGGACGUAACUGACGCUGAGACGCGAAAGCGUGGGGAGCAAACAGG
rnacentral:rRNA from 1 species